ACUCACUGCUGCUGGAGACCCUGUCCCUCCCUCAGUCCCACCCCCAGCUCCUCUACAUGAGACUGCUGCUGCACAAUGGCUGGUCAGGGCCUGGGGACCCACAUCUGGUGCCUGAACAAGGACCCUCCGAGAUACAUGGAAGAGGGCUCUUCUUCCCCUCCAUCAUCUAGAAUGUCACCAUCUUACAAGAUGAGCUUCUGCAAGACAACUGGAUGAAAAACAAGGUUCCUCAUUUCUAGCAUGACAGGUUAACCAAGCAGAUGUACCUGGUA
rnacentral:lncRNA from 1 species